rnacentral:rRNA from 1 species
UACGGGGGGGGCAAGCGUUGUUCGGAAUUACUGGGCGUAAAGAGCUCGUAGGUGGUUUGUCGCGUUGUUCGUGAAAACCUGAGGCUUAACCUUGGGCGUGCGGGCGAUACGGGCAGACUGGAGUACUGCAGGGGAGACUGGAAUUCCUGGUGUAGCGGUGGAAUGCGCAGAUAUCAGGAGGAACACCGGUGGCGAAGGCGGGUCUCUGGGACGGUACUGACGCUGAGACGCGAAAGCGUGGGGAGCGAACAGG